UCAACUCCUACGGGAGGCAGCAGUGAGGAAUAUUGGUCAAUGGACGAAAGUCUGAACCAGCCAAGUAGCGUGCAGGAAGACGGCCCUCUGGGUUGUAAACUGCUUUUAGUUGGGAAUAAAAAAGAGGGACGUGUCCCUUAUUGUAUGUACCAUCAGAAAAAGGACCGGCUAAUUCCGUGC
rnacentral:rRNA from 1 species